CUACGGGAUGCUACAGUAGGGAAUUUUGCGCAAUGGACGAAAGUCUGACGCAGCGACACCGUGUGAAGGAUGAAGGUCUUCGGAUCGUAAACUUCUGUCAAUUAGAGACGAAGGCAGUAAGGUUAAUAGUCUUGCUGUUGACGGUACCUAAUUAGGAAGUCUCGGCUAACUCCGUGCCAGCAGCCGCGGUAAGACGGAGGAGGCAAGCGUUGUCCGGAAUUAUUGGGCGUAAAGAGCGCGUAGGCGGUUUCUCAAGUCAUAUGUGAAAACUUCAGGCUUAACUUGAAGAUUGCAUAUGAAACUGGGAGACUUGAGUACAGUAGAGGAAAGUGGAAUUCCUGGUGUAGCGGUGAAAUGCGCAGAUAUCAGGAAGAACACCAGUUGCGAAGGCGGCUUUCUGGGCUGUUACUGACGCUGAGGCGCGAAAGCUAGGGGAGCGAACAGGAUUAGAUACCCGAGUAGUC
rnacentral:rRNA from 1 species